rnacentral:rRNA from 1 species
AACCUUACCUACCCUUGACAUGUACGGAAUUCCGCUGAGAGGUGGAAGUGCCCGAAAGGGAGCCGUAACACAGGUGCUGCAUGGCUGUCGUCAGCUCGUGUCGUGAGAUGUUGGGUUAAGUCCCGCAACGAGCGCAACCCUUGUCCCUAGUUGCUACGCAAGAGCACUCCAGGGAGACUGCCGGUGACAAACCGGAGGAAGGUGGGGAUGACGUCAAGUCCUCAUGGCCCUUAUGGGUAGGGCUUCACACGUCAUACAAUGGUCGGAACAGAGGGUUGCCAAGCCGCGAGGUGGAGCCAAUCCCAGAAAACCGUUCGUAGUCCGGAUCGCAGUCUGCAACUCGACUGCGUGAAGCUGGAAUCGCUAGUAAUCGCGGAUCAGCA